GGCCGUUUGGCGCAAUGGUAGCGCGUUACUUUCCGGUUUCUCACAGUUAUAAACUCUGAUUGGUAAAGGUUCUGGGUUCGAAUCCCAGGAUGGUCG